AAGAAUUGGUGGAGAAAAUCAAAGAAUUUGAUUAGGAGGGGGAAGUUGUGCCGUUUGGGGAGUUUUGAGUGUGGGGAUUUUGGCUAAGGGGAGUUUUGGGGUCAUUUUCGGCUUUGGAGGGACUGUUGGUUUUUAUUUUAUUUUGUUUUUCUCUCUGUCUGCUUCAAUGUGGAUAAGCAUUUUUGUUUUCUCCUUUUUCUUUUCAUGCCGAACCUUGCAAAGACUUCAACCUAUCUCCCGGGUUUGUUCGUUUUGUUUUUCUACCUUUCCCUUUAUGCCCUUUUUGUUUUGGCCGAAUAGCCUUUGGUUCUUUC
rnacentral:lncRNA from 1 species